rnacentral:lncRNA from 10 species
UGCCGCCAUGUAAACGUUCUUUGCUCCUGCUUCGUCUUCUGCCGUGAUUGUGAGGCCUCCCCAGCCAUGUGGAACUACUCAUCACUCACUGCAGAUGUUACUUUAAGACAUUCUGGAGCAGCGUCAUGUGCAGGAACAAUAAGGAAGUGAGUGCUUUUGUAAUUCCUGAACAACUGUGUCUUACACUUACUAAGGGAUUCAUGGGCAAUAUGACUGAAUAGGAACAGCUCCAGUCUGAAGCUCCCAGUGAGACCAACAUAGAAGGCCUUUGAGCUUAUACUGAAUUAUACCACCAGCUUUCCUAGGUCUUGAAGCUUACAGACAGCAGAUCUUGGGACUUCUCAGGCACCAUAAUCAAUCAUAGAUAAAUGAUCCAAUGAUUCGGAACUUGAAAAGUGGUAGCUUUAUGAAUUCUCCUUAAGAAGAAACCUGUGCCCUGAUCUUGCCUACUCACCCAAAGGCACUGU